rnacentral:sRNA from 1 species
GCUGUACCGGUUAGAUUGGGAUACUCAUCAAUAAUUACUUGAAAACCGAGACAAACCAGUAUUUUAAUGGCGUGCCGAUAUGCGCUUGCGUAGGGUCGGAUUACAGAGACUUACUGGAACUCAAAUCUUAUUUCGCUCGGAGUUUCAUCACAUCACUGGUACAGCCGUUU